rnacentral:rRNA from 1 species
UACGGGGGGGGCAAGCGUUGUUCGGAAUUACUGGGCGUAAAGCGCGCGUAGGCGGCUUUUCAAGUCAGACGCGAAAGCCCCAGGCUUAACCUGGGAAUUGCGUUUGAUACUGUUAGGCUAGAGUGUGGAAGGGGCUACUGGAAUUCCGUGUGUAGCGGUGAAAUGCGUAGAUAUACGGAGGAACACCAGCGGCGAAGGCGGGUAGCUGGGCCAGCACUGACGCUGAUGCGCGAAAGCUAGGGUAGCAAACGGG